UUCUUUACUUUAUUAGAUAAAUAAAUAUAUAAAUAAAUAUAUUAAUAUAAAUACUAUCUUUAUGGUAAUAUAUUUAUACUUAAAUCUUAUUAAUUAUAUAAUUAAAUAAAAUUAAUUUGACAUAUUAUUUAUUUUAUUUUUUUUAUCAUUUAUAUAUUAAUACUUAAUUAUUUUAUUUUUUAUUAAGUAUUAUAUAUUAAAUUAUUUUUUCGUAUAUUAUAUAUUUUUUUUAAAUUUGUAUUGAAAUUUAUAGUGUUAUUAGUUAAAAUUAUAAGAAUAUUGCUAGUAUUAUAUUUUAUUCAUUACAUAUAUUAUGGAUAAAUUUAUGAAAUAAACUGUUGUAUAAAAUAAAUUAUUAUAUGAAAUAAAUAAAUAUAAGAUAUAAAUUAAAUUGUUUUAUAAAAUAAUUUAUAUAAAAUAUACUGAUAUAAAUGAAUUAUCUUAAUCUUUUAAAUAAAUGAAUUAUUUUAAUCUUUUAAAUAUAUUUAAAUAUUAUUUUAGACUUUUUAUCCAAAUACAACAAAAUUUAUAGUUGUUCUAGCUUAUACUGUGAUAUUUCCUACUCUUGAGAACAAUAAAAGUACCCCAAGAAUUUAGUUCUCAAAUAAAACGCAGUCUCA
rnacentral:lncRNA from 1 species